AUACUCUGGUUUUUCUUCAGAUCAUAUAAGUCUUUCGCCUUUUACUGAAGAUUUCCGUGGAGAGAAACAAUUCUGAGUUUGUUUGUUUGUUUGUUUUUUUCCGUUUUUGGGCCAUA